CAAACUAUAGCUCAUGGAGUAUUUUAUUUACAUUAAAUUGGAAAUUGUUUAUUCAAUUUAGUUUG
rnacentral:tRNA from 1 species